rnacentral:lncRNA from 1 species
AUGAGACCCCACACCCAGGCGCCCACCCGUGGGGUUCCCAUUUCCCAUCCCACUUACACCGGGGGCGAAAGGGACGCGCUUUGUGGGAAAAGCCAACUCCCAAACCUCACUAGAGGGAGGGAAAAAAAAUACAAAAAAAAAAACCUUGGUUUGAGGUUUUUUGGAUGGCUCAGGCCCGUGGUAAGUCAGCUGCUGGCUCCAGGAGCUGAGUGCUGCAGGGUUCAGGGUGCUGUGGGGUCCAGGAUCCCUCCAGGGGGGCUCUGGGAUGGGGCAGGAGUGGGGUCGGAGAGGUUUGGGGGUGCCCACGGCAAGGCAGAAGGGUUUCCCCAGGGAAGAAGGCAGCUGGAGGCCAGGAGGCAGCAGGCACCUCCAAUUCUGCUGUACCGGGAUGCUCAUGGCCCAUGGGGUGACACCCCCAAUGUGCCCACAGCCCCAGACCCACAAAUGGGAAGGAAACAGAGGAAUCGCACCCCCUGCACGGGGAUUUGGGGGCUGGGAGGGCCCAGGGUCCCUGCUGGGCAGCAACAAGGAGGGAUGGGGAGGGGGACGCGGUGCGGACGGUGGCAGGGCAGAGAUGCCCAAGGGGCUGCCGACUUCCAGCAGGAGCAGGGUGGCGUGUGGCACUGUCCCCAUUGUCCCCAGUGUCCCCAGUGUCCCCAGUGUCACCCUGGAUAUUGCUGCCAUCUGCUGGCAGGACCCAAUCCUGCUCCGGUCCUGAGCCCAGCUGCUGCGCCGAGGCCGUGGGUGCCCUCUGUCACCCCGCAGGGUGGCGCAGCCCCGUGCCCAACACCCCAAGCCACCCCAAGCCAUGACCCCAAGGAAGCCGGGCCCCAAAAUGUCCCCAUCGGGGCCAUCAUCCUGCUCCGCUCUGCCCCCAAAGCUGCUGAGAACCCACCCAGCUCUCCAACACCUCCGCGCCCACCUCUCCCCGACCCCUCCACCCCGUGCCCUUUGCGAGCAGAGGCAGAAGGGGCAAGGUCCAAAUCCUCCUGCACGUGGGCUCAUCGCCCCUCUGGCUGGCUCUGUGGGGUGGUUUCUCCAGACACCACCCAGCCCUGA